rnacentral:rRNA from 1 species
UACGGGGGGAGCAAGCGUUGUUCGGAUUUACUGGGCGUAAAGGGCGCGUAGGCGGCCAGCACAAGUCAGUUGUGAAAUCUCCGAGCUUAACUCGGAACGGUCAACUGAUACUGUGCGGCUAGAGUGCAGAAGGGGCAACUGGAAUUCUUGGUGUAGCGGUGAAAUGCGUAGAUAUCAAGAGGAACACCUGCGGCGAAGGCGGGUUGCUGGGCUGACACUGACGCUGAGGCGCGAAAGCUAGGGGGAGCGAACGGG